rnacentral:rRNA from 1 species
CACACCGCCCGUCGCUACUACCGAUUGAAUGGCUCAGUGAGGCUUUCGGACUGGCCCAGGGAGGUCGGCAACGACCACCCAGGGCCGGAAAGUUAUCCAAACUCGGUCAUUUAGAGGAAGUAAAAGUCGUAACAAGGUCUCCGUUGGUGAACCAGCGGAGGGAUCAUUGCUGGAGGGCCGAAAGGUCCACCAAUAAACCCGUGUGAACACACCUGUCGUCGUUGCCUCGGCGGACCGGGCCGGCUCGCGCCGACCCCCCGCGGCCCACGUGGCCGCCGGAGCCGUCCGCCGGCGGCGCCACAAACUCUUGUUUUUAGGCGUACGUCUCUGAGAACUUACAAAUAAGUAAAAACUUUCAACAACGGAUCUCUUGGUUCUGGCAUCGAUGAAGAACGCAGCGAAAUGCGAUAAGUAAUGUGAAUUGCAGAAUUCAGUGAAUCAUCGAAUCUUUGAACGCACAUUGCGCCCGCCAGUAUUCUGGCGGGCAUGCCUGUUCGAGCGUCAUUUCAACCCUCAGCGCUUCGGCCUGGUGUUGGGGUGCUGCCUCCUCGUGAGGCACGCCCCUAAAUUCAUUGGCGAGCCCGCCGGUCUCCCGAGCGCAGUAAUUACACCUCGCUCCGGGCGGACCGGUGCGGCCCGGCCGUUAAACCCCAACUCUUUAUGGUUGACCUCGGAUCAGGUAGGAAUACCCGCUGAACUUAAGCAUAUCAAUAAGCGGAGGAAAAGAAACCAACAGGGAUUGCCCCAGUAACGGCGAGUGAAGCGGCAACAGCUCAAAUUUGAAAUCUGGCCUCGGCCCGAGUUGUAAUUUGCAGAGGAUGCCUUUGGCGCGGUGCCUUCCGAGUUCCCUGGAACGGGACGCCACAGAGGGUGAGAGCCCCGUAUGGUCGGACACCAAGCCUUUGUAAGGCUCCUUCGACGAGUCGAGUAGUUUGGGAAUGCUGCUCAAAAUGGGAGGUAAAUCUCUUCUAAAGCUAAAUAUUGGCCAGAGACCGAUAGCGCACAAGUAGAGUGAUCGAAAGAUGAAAAGCACCUUGAAAAGGGGGUUAAACAGUACGUGAAAUUGUUGAAAGGGAAGGGCUCGUGACCAGACUUGUGCCAGGCGGCUCAUCCGGCGUUCUCGUCGGUGCACUCCGCCUGGCUCAGGCCAGCAUCGGUUCUUGCCGGGGGAUAAGAGCUCCGGGAACGUGGCCCCCUUCGGGGGGUGUUAUAGCCCGUUGCACGAUGCCCUGGCGGGGACCGAGGUUCGCGCUCCGCAAGGAUGCUGGCGUAAUGGUCACCAACCACCCGUCUUGAAACACGGACCAAGGAGUCGUCCAUCAGAGCGAGCGUUUGGGUGUCAAACCCGCACGCGUAAUGAAAGUGAACGCAGGUGAGAGCUUCGGCGCAUCAUCGACCGAUCCUGAUGUCUUCGGAUGGAUUUGAGUAAGAGUUUUGCUGGACGGACCCGAAAGACAGUGAACUAUGCUUGUAUAGGGUGAAGCCAGAGGAAACUCUGGUGGAGGCUCGCAGCGGUUCUGACGUGCAAAUCGAUCGUCAAAUAUGAGCAUGGGGGCGAAAGACUAAUCGAAC